GACGAACGCUGGCGGCGUGCCUAAUACAUGCAAGUAGAACGAGUUGCGAACGGGUGAGUAACGCGUGGUAACCUGCCUCAUAGCGGGGGAUAACUAUUGGAAACGAUAGCUAAUACCGCAUACUGUGAGAUGGACCUGCGUUGUAUUAGCUAGUUGGUGAGGUAAAGGCCCACCAAGGCGACGAUACAUAUCCGACCUGAGAGGGUGAUCGGCCACACUGGGACUGAGACACGGCCCAGACUCCUACGGGAGGCAGCAGUAGGGAAUAUUGCACAAUGGGCGCAAGCCUGAUGCAGCCAUGCCGCGUGUAUGAAGAAGGCCUUCGGGUUGUAAAGUACUCUCAGCGGGGAGGCGUUACCCGCAGAAGAAGCACCGGCUAACUCCGUGCCAGCCGCCGCGGUAAUAC
rnacentral:rRNA from 1 species